AACUUUCCGGUGUAUAGAGCCGGCGUGGCAUCAGCCACGUUCACCAUUAGCUUUUAUAAUGACUAUUAAUAAAUAUUCUCUGGAACUUUGGGGUUACCUGCAAGGGGGACGGCGGCCGGGAGCAAGGGGGGGUCCCUUUCCCCGGCCCCGCUCACCGCCCCUUGCCCGCAGCCGCCCCGCAGCCCUCGGGCACCGGGUCCCGCAUCGCGGUGGCCGCCUCGCUGCUGAGCGGAGCCGUCAUCCUGGCACUGUCCGUCUCCUUCGCCGUGUGCUGCUGGCGGGACAGGGCGAGGAAGAGCCGCGGCGGGUGAGUAUGGAGGUGGUGAGGGGAGCGGGGGGGUGUGUUCGGCAGGAGUGAGGAGCGGCGGCGGGAGCUGAAGGAGUGUCGCUGCUGCCAUCUGCUGAGACACGCGGGUUGCGCCCACUCGGGACACUUGCGACGCACCUGCGCCCUUUCACAACCCUCCUGCUCACCCAGGAGCAUACUACCGAGCAUAAAAAAAAGCACUGCUCCAAAGCUAAGGUAUGUUUGACUGUGGAAAGGGUUUCCAUCAGUGGGAAUGCUGCUGCUGAUUGCAGAGGGUUCUGGACAAGCUCAAGAAGUGAGACCAUGGAAACCUCAUGAGGUUUAACAAGACCAGUGCAAGGUGCUGCACCUGGGUCAGGGCAAUCCCUGAUAUCAACACAGACUGAGGAUGCACAGAUGGAGAGCAGCCCCACUGAGAAGGACUUGGGGGUUCUGGUGGAUGAGGAGCUGGACAUGACCCAGCAAUGUGCACUCAGCCCAGAAAGCCAAUUGUAUCCUGGGCUGUAUCCAAAGGAGUGUGGGCAGCAGGGUGAGGGAGGGGAUUCUACCCCUCUGCUCUGGUGGGACCCCACCUGCAGUGCUGCAUCCAGCUCUGGGGUCCCACAAAGAUCAUCAGAGGGCUGGUGCACUUCUCCUAUGAGAAAGUUGUCAUUCAGGCUGCAGAGAAGGCUCCAGUAUUUGAUGGGAAAGAGGGAUACAAGAUUUUUAACAGGGCCUGUUAUGACAGGACAAAGGGCAAUUAUUUUAAAGUGAAAGAGGGUUGGCUAAGGUUGAAUAUAAGGAAGAUGGGUAUUGUGACGAGGGGUAAAACACCGGAAUAAGUUGCCCAGAGAGACUAUAGAUGCCCCAUCCCUGAAAAUAUACAAGGUCAGACUGAAUGAAGCUCAGAGCAACCUGAUCUAGUUGAAGGUGUCCCUGCUCAUUGCAGUGGGGUCACUUUAAAGGGUCACUUCCAACCCAAAUUAUUCUAUGAUUAUGUUAGCUUGGCGAUUUAUACAAAGCUCCCCAUUAUCAGAGGAAGAAGGAACAGACAAUACAUGGAAGAUAGUUGAUAGGAAUAUCACUUUUCUGAGGCUAAGUUCAGUGCAACUGUCUGCACACAGCCCAGGGCGGGGGAGGGAAAGGAAGAGCGUUAUUCUCUGGAAAGAACUGGGAGAAAAGUCAUGGUGGGAAGCAGGACUGGACAAGCAGGGUAGCCGGACCAGAGUCACAGAGCAUCAUUUCUGCAGCAGCACUGCCCAGUUUUCCUGACCUACACUACAGUCCAGCAGGGCCUCUUUUGUACCCUGGGCAAAGGAUUACAGUAACAGGGACCAUGCAUCCUAGGAAUGCACCUUUAACCAACAGCCUAACUCAUUAUCAGAAGGGCAGAAGGACAAGGAGGGGAAAAAAAAAAAAAAAGGGAAAAAAAAACCCAAGCAAGAGAAAGCAUCUCAGUCUUUCAACAGGCACCAACCAUACCCCUCCCCACGGGCCUGCUCUUCCUUAGGUGAUGCAACCCUUUUCUACAGGGCUGAAACAGUGCCAGUCCUUUCUUCUGGGAACAGAGGAAGAGGGCAAAAAAUCACUGGGUGACAGCGUUGCCUUAGGAUACAAACAUGCCAGAUCUUUCCAGGGGUGUGAGUAAAUAAAAGCCAGAUCACAAAGCAAACAUCUGCAUGGGCAUCUCUCUCCCACCACCCUGCAGGCAGCAGCACAGAAGGAAAGGCAGAGGACGGAAGCGUGACCCCUCCACCCCCGAGAGGGGCAGGCAUGCUUUUGGAAGACUCAAACACUACCACCGGCGCGAUUACCACCUCUCGGCCGUCUCCAGCUCUGUGUUCCCAGGGGCAUUCGCAGGCUGCAGUAACGUGGCUUUCCAAAGCAGCCCUGCCCAGCAGCCGAAGGUGCCCUUGGAAAGAUGGCGCUGCGGGGCCCCGGCCUUGCCCGGGCUGGUGCUGCCGCCCGGCGCGGCCCCGGCCGGCGGCCUGCCCGGCCUCCUGCCCCGCAGCGCCCUGCUGCCGGCCCACCUCCACAGCGACCUGCUGCCCCUCUGCUGCAGAGGCCUGGAGGAACACAAGGUCUGCAGCAAGUUCGGAAAGCCGGUUUGAGAAUUUAGACUGCCGUUCGACUUUCCUUCCUUUUCUGCUUUUAACUCUGAUCGACUCCUUGAGCUCAGGGAUUUCAGAAGAGCCAAUUACUGCACCUGGGUUUUCAAAUGGAGAAAAUCUGAUACUUCAUGCUGACAGACAUUUUUUUAUAUAACUUUUAUUUCCCUCCCCUGUCCAGCAGUGCACAUUUCAAACAGGAGUUUCUGGGUUUUAAACUUAAUUGAUCCUUUCUGCAUAAAGCAUAAAGCCAAGUCUGUGCAGCCCCAGCUUAACCUGAAGUCUAUGUAGGCUUCUAGGUUUUGAACGAGUCUGAUUUUCUGUUUAGUGCUCUUCUAAAGGCUGAAAGUGAAAAUAGUUACCAGGAACAAAUAACGAGAUUAAGUAUCUGGAAGAAUUUACAAUUAAUUGCACUUGAAUAUAGAUGGAGACUUCAAGAGUUUUUUUGCUGGCAUUUAGAACUCACCAUAUCCUCCCACUCCUAUAUGGACAAUGUUAGACUUGGAAGAUGUAUUGACAAGAGUGCAAAGCUAUCCAAUCAAGGGGAAAACAUGAGUUUAUCUUUAAUACAAAGAACUGAGCACAUCUGAAAACAAACAAGCAAAAACCAGCCCCCUCGAAAAGGAAAAAAACACCAACCUCUUGAGGGUUUUUCAUCCCUUCUCUCCAGCAUUAGAAAUUCAAAUCACUUGUAUCAGGACCCACAGCAGGACUCAAAGAGCUAACCUAAGUGCAUUCAGAAAGCAACGACCCUAUAUUUCUGUCGAACAUUUCCUGGGUGGAAGUCCAGGAGCAUGUUCCAGGCAGCAUAUGCAGAGCCUGCCAAGCAGCUUCAGGACACGUCAGCCCCUGUUUGCACCCAGGACAGAGCUCUGCCUGCACAGCAUGCCCAAGGCACUGUGGGCACAUGGGGCUUGUUGAGUAAAGUGGCACCAGGUCUGCACAGAGAUGCUGCUGCUCUCUCAGGCUACGCUAUUAGGCAGAGGAGGGACGAGCAGCCCCAAGAACUGUUGCAUGCAUGGGGCUGGGAAUAAGAAUGAGCAUCCCCAGCAGGCCCUGCUUGCUCCAAGCUGCGAUACUCAAUCCUGCUACAAAGGCUGGGAAUCUUAGUCUGCUGCCUUCAUUUCUGCCAACAUUUGCAUCUCAUUUGAAGGAAAGAAGCCUUAAAAAAAUGCAAGGUAGCCUUUCCUUGUGCUAAGACAAGGUUUGAUAGUAGAUGUUGAUACCACUGCCAUUUUUCCCUGGAGUGAGGGCUAGGGACACUGUUUUUUCUAUUUCUAAUAAAAAUAAAGGAAUCAAUCUCAAUUUCAAAUCCUAUUGUCUUUUUUUUUUUUCACAUGACCAAGCUACGGGAAGUCUGGAAGCAGGUGGUAAACCUUUUACAGAUCCCUGGAAAAUUAUGAUGUACCAGUAACUGCACCAGAAGGAAGAAAAAUCUUUUAUUUUCUUAAGGCAACUGAUGCCUUAGAAAGGACAGGGAACACAAAACCUGCUCUGAGCUUCCCUUCAGCUCACGUCCUAACCUUAUCUUCUCCUACCUCUUUUUCCAGCCAAGUCUAAUGCACAGGGAGGGGAAUAAUCCUGCUUCAAGGUGUUCACGGUUCAUCAGUGGAAAUUCCCUUCCUUGACUCUGCCAGCAGCAAACAUUUUCAGAAGGCUACCAGCCUGAAGCAAAGAAGCUCGCACCAGAUGUAAAUCAGUUUGUGCCAAAUACCCAUUUGAUGGUUUGCCAGUGGAGCUGAAGGAGUGAGAAACGGUUACCUGUGAUGAUUGCGGGGUCCA